GCUGGGUGUGGUGGUGCAUGACUGUAUUCCCAGUGACUCUGGAGGCUGAGGCAGGAGGAUUGCAAGUUCAAAGCCAGCCUCAGCAACUUAGCAAGGCCCUAAGCAACUCAGUGAGAUCCUGUCUCUA
rnacentral:sRNA from 1 species